CCGAGGUCAAUCUGAGAGUCAUAUUGGUUUUCAGGAGGUCAGGGCUCUUUCAGCAGAAUCCUAUCUUGUCAAUAUAUCACAAUGUAGUUUCCAGUCAGCAUCUUCUGUGUGUGUGUGUGUGUGUGUGUGUGUGUGUGUGUGUGUGUGUGUGUGUGUGUGUGUGUGUGUGUGUGUGUAAAUGCGUGCAUUCCCGGCAGACCUGCCACUGGCCUGCUUUGACAACAGAUGUGUGUAGAGUCCAGAAAGUCAGCCCAUUGAUCCACAGCACAGCAGACAUCAAAAGAUCCAUAGGAGAAAGAGCAGAAAGGAGCAGGGAGGAGGGUGGGAGUGUGUGUGUGUGUGUGUGUGUGUGUGUGUGUGUGUGUGUGUGUGUGACUGAGAUUAGAGCUUAUACAGAAAACAAAAUGAUUAACUUAAUAUCUGUAAUACCUGCCAUAAAAAAAAAAGAAAAGAAUGAAUCAUAACUGUCCUCCAUCUUCAGAGAUUACCGAAAAACUUUACAUCUGGUUUACUAAAACAUUACUUGUUUGCGACCCACUACGCCUGUGUUUUAUGAAAAACUACUGGGGGGAAAAAGAGUGAUAUUCAUUACUGUGAUUGGGUUGGCUGAGGGAAUUAGAGAUGUUGUAAUGCCCUGGCAACACACUCAUGGAUCCUAAGUUGAGUGACUUGCCAAAUCUCUGGGUAGCAACACGGCAGAGAGAGAGGAGGAGAGGGGGAGAGAGGAAGAGAGCGAGCGACUGAGAGAGACUGUGGGCAAAAUGCAGCACAUUUGUUAAAAAAAAAAAAGAAAAAGGUCUCCACGUACCGAAACAAGAUUUCAAUUACCACGCUGCUCUCUCCAUCACCCAAUAGACUCUUAGGCAAACACACGCAUUUGAAAAACCAGUGCCAUUUAUUCUAUUCAUUCUCUGUUUCUGACACAACACAGAAAUUAAAAUGUUCUUAGCAGGAGAUAAAUGGCACAUUGAAAGACCAUAUGAAUAGAAGGAAGCAAGUAGAGGCAGCCUUGACUCAGUAAGUUUGCAGGGAGCUGCACCAUGAACUUUCCUAAUAAAGCUGUUUUGCCUGUCAAAGAGCUUCUGUUAAGAAUAUUUGUAAGGUAAUGUAUUACUGUUUUCAUCAGGCCAGAAACGGUGAAAACGUGUAGUAUUUCUUAACAAAAAAACCCAAAAGCACUGGAAUGUAUCUUUUUUUUACAAGUCAGAGAGUGUCGAAAGACAAAAAAGAAGCAGACCUUAAUUACUGCGAUAAGGAAAAAGAAACACUGAGGUUACACAGCGUAACCCUAGUGUUACAGGCCUUCGAUGGGGUCUGUUUUUAAACUGUUUUUUUAACCCUUUAAGACCUACCAUAGAACCAAGUUCGCCAGAGCUUAUAUUAUAUUUUUACAUGCUGUGGAGCCAUUUUUGGGAGCAUUUCAAGUUGCUAUACAUCAAUACAACCAUUAUAGCCCAAACUUUAAUAAUAU
ensembl:lncRNA